GACGUAGGAGGCGAGCGUUGUCCGGAUUCAUUGGGCGUAAAGAGCGCGCAGGCGGCUUGGCAAGUCGGGUGUGAAAUCCCGGGGCUCAACCCCGGGACUGCAUUCGAUACUGUCAGGCUAGAGGUAGGUAGGGGAGAUCGGAAUUCCUGGUGUAGCGGUGAAAUGCGCAGAUAUCAGGAGGAACACCGGUGGCGAAGGCGGAUCUCUGGGCCUUACCUGACGCUCAGGCGCGAAAGCUAGGGGAGCGAACAGG
rnacentral:rRNA from 1 species